AAUGAUUAUUCCUUCAAAACAAAAUUUCUUGCUUUCAUAGGUGCCUAUGAAUUUUACUCUCCUCAGAUGUGGAAGGCAGCUUUCACAGAGUCAAUAGCAAAGGCCUUACUUGUGUUCACCCUCACCACAACCAUAAUCUCAUGCUUGGACUCACAUGAGGUUGAACCAAAGCUCCUUGUCCCACUAGCUGUCUUCAUUAUAGCCUUCUUAUUCCUCAUGGUGACAGUUCCAUUAUCUGGAGGCCACAUGAGUCCAAUUUUUACAUUCAUAGCUGCCCUCAGGGGUCUUGUAACUCUUGCUCGUGCAGCCAUCUAUGUGUUGGCUCAAUAAUUGGUUUUGUUAUACUGAAAAAAGUGAUGGACCAUAAAACAGUACAAAAUCAUUCCUUAGGUGGCUGCACAAUUGAUGGCAAUGGAGCAACAUCUGCACUAAGCCCUGAAAUUGCAUUGGCAUUGGAAUUCGUUUGCACCUGUGUGGUACUCUUUGUUGGUGUUACAGUGGCAUUUGACAAAAAAAGGUGUAAGGAACUUGGCAUGGCAAUGGUGUGUGUUGUGGUAGCAGGGUCUAUGGCCCUAGCAGUGUUUGUGUCAAUCACAGUUACUGGGAGGGCUGGCUAUGGAGGUGUGGGCCUGAAUCCUGCAAGAUGCUUGGGCCCAGCAUUGUUGCACGGAGGCAAAUUGUGGGAUGGACAUUGGGUUUUCUGGGUUGGGCCAUUUUUUGCUUACAUUGCAUAUUAUUGUUACUCUAUGAACUUACCAAAGGAAGAGGAAGAGUAUGAUAUUUUAAGGUUAGCUUGGGCUUGUUUCGGGAAAAAUUACAAUCCCACUAAUCUUCAAGAAAGAGUUUAG